GGGGUGCGUAAUAGAGUUACCUCCACGUGGUGCACCCUGGGCAACGUAUACUUAUACGGCAAAAAAAGUCUAU
rfam:Hymenolepis nana genome assembly, scaffold: HNAJ_scaffold0004024